rnacentral:rRNA from 1 species
AGUGGGGAAUAUUGGACAAUGGGGGCAACCCCGAUCCAGCCAUGCCGCGUGUGUGAAGAAGGCCUUCGGGUUGUAAGGCACUUUCAGUCGUGAGGAAGGCUGUUUGUUGAAUAGACAGGCAGAUUGACGUUAACGACAGAAGAAGCACCGGCUAACUCCGUGCCAGCAGCCGCGGUAAUACGGAGGGUGCGAGCGUUAAUCGGAAUUACUGGGCGUAAAGCGCAUGCAGGUGGUUUGAUAAGCCAGAUGUGAAAGCCCGGGGCUCAACCUCGGAAUCGCAUUUGGAACUGUCAGACUGGAGUCUUGGAGAGGGAAGUGGAAUUUCCGGUGUAGCGGUGAAAUGCGUAGAGAUCUGAAGGAAUACCGGUGGCGAAGGCGGCCCCCUGGACAGAUACUGACACCCAGAUGCGAAAGCGUGGGGAGCAAACAGGAUUAGAUACCCUGGUAGUCCACGCUGUAAACGAUGAUUACUGGUUGUUUGCGAUACACAGCAAGUGACUGAGCGAAAGCAUUAAGUAAUCCACCUGGGGAGUACGUCGGCAACGAUG